UUUAACUGGAUAAUACUCAAAUUCAUUUAUUCAUUAAUUCAUUUCAUUUUCAUUUCAUCUUUUAGAAAAAGGGGGAUGUCACAUACCGUAAUAUUGACAUAUCUUAACCGGAUACGAUCCGGACAUUAUUGUUAUAUAUUAUAAUACUCUCCUGUAUAGAAGGUUAAUAAAAUAUCUUGUUAUUGUCAAUAGGCCACAGACCACAAUUAAAUUCUCUAUUAGUUCUUUAUAACGUUUUGUUUCAUUAAAAAAAUUGCACCUAAUCUUUUUGUCAAAUCUUUUGUGUGUGUAAAGUACAGUUCUAGUCCAAAACUAUAUCCAAAAUUCAGAAAGAUUGCUCCUCUGUAUUUUACAAAUUCAGCCAAUACACAUCCAUACCCCUAUGGACAAGUCAAAAGAUGUUCCGAAAACUGUAAAUAUCACCUUUUUGCACCUGGCCUAAUCACUCUUUCCAUAUCAAAAUCAGUUAAAAUAAAACAUCCAACAGUUUAUUUUACCUCUCUUCUUUCAUUUCCACCCCAGAAAAGCUAAGAAAUGUAUGAGAAAGGGAAAGAAAAAAAAUAAGAAAAAAUACACUAUAAUUAAAGGGAACUAUAUUCGUGGACAACGAAAAGUGGGAUCAUUAAUUGUGGUCUUGGGCC
rnacentral:lncRNA from 1 species